rnacentral:snoRNA from 1 species
UUGUGGGUGAUGAUAAAAAAUUCUCAAUGUUCGCAGUUGAGAGUUUUAAAAGAAAACUCUAUGAAUUAUUUUAGUAGCCUUCACUUAGAUGUCUGACGCAAAAA